UACGAAGGGGGCUAGCGUUGUUCGGAAUUACUGGUCGUAAAGGGCGCGUAGGCGGCCGAUUAAGUUAGAUGUGAAAGUCCUGGGCUCAACCUGGGGACUGCAUUUAAUACUGGUUGGCUUGAAUUCGGGAGAGGAUAGCGGAAUUCCCAGUGUAGAGGUGAAAUUCGUAGAUAUUGGGAAGAACACCGGUGGCGAAGGCGGCUAUCUGGACCGACAUUGACGCUGAGGCGCGAAAGCGUGGGGAGCAAACAGG
rnacentral:rRNA from 1 species